AAAAACAACAUUGCAGUUCUGUUAGGACAAAGCCUGUCUUCAUGGAUAAUGAGGGACUUAUAUUUUGGAGAUUGAAGGGUUGUGGCGAUGAGUCAAAUAUUAUACUUCAAGAAGUAAGUCUUCUAGAUGAAUCAGAUGUUCGUGAAAAAUGGUUUACUUAUGAAGAAGGGGAGCAAAUGGACAAGGUUAAGAAAUACAUAUCAUUCAAGGAGAAUGAAAGAAAAGUUGCUGUAACACCAAUGAAGGCAUAAUAAUAUAUAGUAAAAGUAUAUUAUAAUUUAUACUUUGUGUUUGGUUAAGAAAUUGACUGAAGAAUCAUUUUUUUUAUAUUUGGUUUCCUGUUGGAUAAUAUGUCCUUACGAAAAGGUCAAGUUAGUACGAUUCUCCAUUAGCACAUUCAAUUUAACUUAAUUUGUAUUUAGUGUAGGUUGAAUCUUAGAGUUUUUCUCUCUAAGCCAAACUUAUUAAAAAAAAAGAUUUGGAGUUGAUGGUAA